GAGUUUGUCCUGGCUCAGAUUGAACGCUGGCGGCAGGCCUAACACAUGCAAGUCCGAGCGGUAGAGAGAAGCUUGCUUCUCUUGAGAGCGGGCGGACGGGUGAGUAAUGCCUAGGAAUCUGCCCUGGUAGUGGGGGAUAACGCUCGGAAACGGACGCUAAUACCGCAUACGUCCUACGGGAGAAAGCAGGGGACCUUCGGGCCUUGCGCUAUCAGAUGAGCCUAGGUCGGAUUAGCUAGUUGGUGAGGUAAUGGACUCACCAAGGCGACGAUCCGUAACUGGUCUGAGAGGAUGAUCAGUCACACUGGAACUGAGACACGGUCCAGACUCCUACGGGAGGCAGCAGUGGGGAAUAUUGGACAAU
rnacentral:rRNA from 1 species